rnacentral:rRNA from 1 species
GACGAACGCUGGCGGCGUGCUUAACACAUGCAAGUCGAACGGAAAGGCCCUGCUUUUGUUGUGUGCUCGAGUUGCGAACGGGUGAGUAACACGUGAGUAACCUGCCCUUGACUUUGGGAUAACUUCAGGAAACUUGGGCUAAUACCGGAUAUGAUCUCCUGCUGCAUUGUGGGGGUUGUAAAGUUUCGGCGGUUGGGGAUGGACUCGCGGCUUAUCAGCUUGUUGGUGGGGUAGUGGCUUACCAAGGCGUUGACGGGUAGCCGGCCUGAGAGGGUGACCGGCCACAUUGGGAAUGAGAUACGGCCAAGACUCAUACGGGAGGCAGGAGUGGGGAAUAUUGGCCAAUGGGCGGAAGCCUGAUGCAGCAACGCCGCGUGCGGGAUGACGGCCUUCGGGUUGUAAACAGCUUUCGCCUGUGACGAAGCGUGAGUGACGGUAAUGGGUAAAGAAGCACCGGCUAACUACGUG